rnacentral:rRNA from 1 species
GUAGUCCUGGCUGUAAACGAUGUCGACUUGGAGGUUGUGCCCUUGAGGCGUGGCUUCCGGAGCUAACGCGUUAAGUCGACCGCCUGGGGAGUACGGCCGCAAGGUUAAAACUCAAAUGAAUUGACGGGGGCCCGCACAAGCGGUGGAGCAUGUGGUUUAAUUCGAUGCAACGCGAAGAACCUUACCUGGUCUUGGCAUCCACGGAAGUUUUCAGAGAUGAGAAUGUGCCUUCGGGAACCGUGAGACAGGUGCUGCAUGGCUGUCGUCAGCUCGUGUUGUGAAAUGUUGGGUUAAGUCCCGCAACGAGCGCAACCCUUAUCCUUUGUUGCCAGCGGUCCGGCCGGGAACUCAAAGGAGACUGCCAGUGAUAAACUGGAGGAAGGUGGGGAUGACGUCAAGUCAUCAUGGCCCUUACGACCAGGGCUACACACGUGCUACAAUGGCGCAUACAAAGAGAAGCGACCUCGCGAGAGCAAGCGGACCUCAUAAAGUGCGUCGUAGUCCGGAUUGGAGUCUGCAACUCGACUCCAUGAAGUCGGAAUCGCUAGUAAUCGUGGAUCAGAAUGCCACGGUGAAUACGUUCCCGGGCCUUGUACACACCGCCCGUCACACCAUGGGAGUGGGUUGCAAAAGAAGUAGGUAGCUUAACCUUCGGGAGGGCGCUUACCACUUUGUGAUUCAUGACUGGGGUGAAGUCGUAACAAGGUAACCGUAGGGGAACCUGCGGCUGGAUCACCUCC